UUUUAUACUGAGUCGACGUCAUCCUGGAUUUAGUUCCUGGCCUGCCCUUCCGCCUGGCAGGCCCAGAGUGGAUUCCCUGGGCCGCAGUGGCCUGGACGAUGGCCGGGUCUGAUAGCGGCAGGCGGCCGCGAUGAUUUGCGGGAUUCUCGGCAUGGCACGGCCAGCCUGCCCGAGCCACGGGAGGCGCAGCCAGCCCACCACUCACGGCAAGCAGGCGGCCGAGCGCCCUUCGAGAAGGUAGGCGACGGUACGCGCGGAACAAAAGCAGUCCCCCAGAUCCUGUGGACCGGGUGCAAGCUCCCGGCUUGCAACUCAGGCCACUCCAGGGGAAGGGGCAGUACCCGACCCAGGCGAUACCCCCGAGAGCCGGAGAGGGAGAUGGGGUUGCGGGAGACCUCGGGUUUCCUGAAGGAAGUCCGCCUUUAACUCACACCUAUUUUUCGCGAUUUCUCUCAGGCUAAUUAACCAAGGGACCCCGCAAAGUUGUCUGAAGUCGCCGCCGUAAGGCUAAAGACUUAAGUCACCAUGCUCCAGGGCAGAUACUCCCCCACCAAUCUUUCCCAGGUUUAAAGCUACAGGGCAGUUGAUGGACGACAACUAGAGGCUGCAACUUAUCAGUGACUGCCUGCGUUUGUGUUGGAGGCUGGGUGUGCGCUGCGGUGCGCGUGUGAGUGGAUCUUUUAAGACCUUUGUCUGAGCCGGGCAGAGGCACAAGUGCCACCUGACGCUUGGGGCAGAUUCCUCGUCCUGUUCUUGCAAAGAUGCCAAAUCAGGAGAGUGUCAAGAUUUCAACCGCAGACCUAAAAAAAGUGUCUCCAUGUUUUUAAAAGUAUCAGACAACCACCUCCACACACCCCUCCGUCUCCCCUUCCACCUGGAACAUUGUUCUUUUUAAUAACCAGGUUUAGCAAACUGCUAUACUGCGCCUGUGCUUUCCUGCAGCCCUCCGCUGUACCAGCUGAGCCCUGUACAGAAUCUGAGCGUCAGAGUUGCAGACCCAACCUUGCCACCUUGCAAAUCAUCCCUUCUCUGGAGGCCUCAGGAUUUUAGUUGAUCAAACCAACACCAACAUUCAUUGGGUCCCUUUGCAACCCUAACAUUUAAUGAGACUUGGUAAUUGUCAUCCGUUCGCCAAGGAGGUUGGGGAUGAACUUGGGGGCAUUUUCUUGUUUAUUUUUCAUUGAGACAAAGGAGUGUGCUGUCCCCACCUCCGCCCCCAGACAAGGACAGGGUUCCUACAUCAGCUGGGUCUAAAAUAAGGAAAAGCGAGUGCUGCCGCAGAGGGGACUUUCCGGGAAGGGGGUCACAGGAACCCCAAGGCCACACAGCUCCAGACACUCUGCCGGAGCUCUAGGGGAGCUCACCCCUGCGCGGCGGGACCUCCCCCAUCGGGUUGCCCCUUCAAUCUGCAGCCGCGCGGAGGCAGGCCCCGGGAAAGGCAGUCGGCGCUCGGUGCUCGCACUGCGCCUCGGCGGGCGGAAACUCACAAGUGUCCUCAACGUGCUAAACAAACCAUCAGGGCCCCGCAUCGCCUGGCGCAAUUGGAAUAACAAAUGCGACGCACGCAAAUUGUCCACCUCGUGUUGCUAAGCGAUUGUUUGUCGGCCCCGCACGCACAGCUCAGCAUGGGAGGACCGCGAGCGUCCAGAGGCAGCCGGCGAGCGCUUAGGUCGGAAAUGCAGUAAACAUGCCGCUGAUUUUCCCUAUUAUCACCCAAACACGAUUUCACACAAAGCAAUCACCACGCAGAAGUCUAUGAAAAUGUGUUUGUUGAGGAGUCACUCGCCCCAGUAAUAGUCCUCAUUUUUAAGAUAUUAAAGAAUAGCUCAGCGGAUUCCACAUGCAUAAGGUCUAUUUGCCGUUCGGCAUCUGUCACGGCGCUUUUGCACUGCGGUCAUCACUAAAUUGAUUCAUAGAGUGUAGAUUAAAUUGCUUCUCUGAUUUAAAACAGUGUCCAACUUUGGAGUAUGCGUGUGAGUAUCUUCUCCCGCCCCAAGGUAUUUUUGUCAGGGAGAAAACUGUCGCCCCACUAUCCUUACACCCCAUUCCGCAUAACUGUAAAAAAAUAAUGCAUCUUCGACCCCAACUUCUUACGGUUCGUUUCAGGAACUUUCUUAAUUCUCUCCGUCUCCUGCCCGGCCACAGAGCAGAGUUCACAAUCGGAUGCGUUUAAGUCGGAUUUUUCGUGUCAUGUGCAAAAAGCCGGUGUGUCCUUUUCAAGGUACGGAGCCCUCAUCGGAGGGCGCAUUAGCGGGGUCAGAGGAAUUAGGAGCAAUGCGCAGAGCCCCCUGCAGCCCGCGUGCUGCGCCGAGACCUCAGCCGUCCUCACUGAGCGGAAUGGUUGUGUUGUUUGUAUUGGGACUUUUAAAAAAUCCAGUCUCAAAGCUAAGUGCUCAAACCCCGUUCCAUGGCUCUGCUGCUUUCUGGAGGACAUCUCCGGUAGCCCCAGGGGAUUGUCCGUGUGAGGUUGGGUGGGUGGAGUAGAGCCAGAGGCGCAAAUGCCUCCUGGCUAAGGGGCAGCGCGCAUUAGAGCUGGGUCUCCUGCUUUCGGAGCGGAGGGCGUAAGGGAGCUUUCUAGCUGAUUUUUUGCUAGAAGUUUUCCAACGCUCCAAAUAAAAGCACCCGAUCCCCUAAGGACGAAAUAAUCAAGGUGUUAGGGAAGCUCAACAGAAGAGAAGAGACGAGAAGAGAAGAGAAGAGAAGAAGGGGCUAUCGAAAAAUGACGUGUUCCCAAGGCCUUAGAAAAAUAAAUAAAUAAAUAAAUAAAUAAAUAAAUAGCUUGGACUUUCCGGGGUUGCAGAAAUCCGAUUUCAGCCGGGCUAUUUACCAAAAUUUGUUUCAAAAUGACUGCACCUUUGCUUUUGCAAGUCACAGAAUGCAAAUGACGAUAAUUUGUUCUCAGAAGAAGUUUCUCUUGAAAUGAUUAGCAAAGUCAGUCAUUUGAAAAUUAGAACGAAGCCCUUCGCUAACUGAUAUCUGCUUCUAAAGUUUUCAUUCAUGUAAACCUCAUUAAUGAAGAUCUUUUAUUUAAACGUCAAGGGGAUUUGAAAUUUAGAGUAAAUUAUGAAGCUUGUAUGUCUAGCCAAGUCAUGGGUCAAAUGCAUUUGUGAAAAACUGCUAAAGAGCAUAUGGUUUUGAAUUUUUCUACAAUGACUAGUGUUUAAAUAAAUUGCUUGUACUGCUUAACUUCAUGUGUAAUUUUGACAGAAAUUGGCCUAUAGCCUUUUGAUAUGUAAACAUUUCAGCCUUUUAUGCGGUAUAAAAAAGACACUUGCUUUUUAGGAUCAGCCCAGGCAGUCACCCUGUAAUUCAGAAAGCUGGUACCUACCAUUACAAUCUUGCUAGAUUUCAACUUUCAAGUGGCAGCCUCAGGGGGAGAAAAAAAGAAAAGAAAGAAAGGGGAUAUUUCAAAAGCAAUGUCCAUUUGGGAUUAAAAGCUACAAAUGAGGUGAGAACGUGCCACUUACUAUCUGAAAGAAAUGGAUAAACCAUAGUUAUUAAAGAACAUUUCUGUCAGUUUUCUUUAAGCCAGCCCGUCUGAGGGGACACUUAAGCAGGGCUGGGAACUGACUAGCAUGCCAUUAAAUGCUUGUCUUAGGGCCGAGCUAAUCAGUCCAACACACAAAUAGGUGUUAAAAAUCUAGGUAUCAUUUCAGGAUGUUACCAGGGAAAUCGCUCUGUGUCACAGAACCCAUUAAGAUGCAAAACUCAUCCAGGGCACAGAAUGGCUGGACACAAAUGGCUCAUAUGAGCCAUGCACGGGGGUUUUUCUCCGUGGGAACUGCAAAGUCCGUGCAGGGCACAGUUCAGAGCCCUCCCUGGGCUGCCAGGGUUUUUGAAACACAUACAUACCUGCAUAAACCCAUUUGUUGCUAAUAUAUCCGUCUCCCGUAAAUAAGCCAAGGAAUGUGGAUUGGACUGCGGGUCACCAAUGGGGAUUCAAAGCGUCCCAUAAGGUUGCCCUCCCAAGUGCGAGACCGGGCCACACGUUGAUUUCCUGCGUACUCUGGUGGGGCGAGCGCUGCUCCUUCCCAUCUGCUCUCACAGUCUUGCCGUAUUUAUCCUAUGUGUCAGUUUUGUCAUAUACAGACUUUCUGAGAGACGCCACCCCUUUUGUGAAGUUUUGAAGGAACUGGGGAGAAAGAAUGCUCACUUGACAAGGGAGACCAGUUCCUUUGUAAACAGUUGAGCCGCCUGAGCAAAUUGAGAUCCUCUUAAUUAAAAAGAUCAUUCUGGGGCGAAAUCUAAUUAAGAAAAAAAGACACGCUGAGAAAGACAGAAGGAGGUGUUUUGUUUACAUUUCUUAUGCAUUCCAGCUUAUCAUAUUGGUCAGCAAUCUGGGAAGGAAAUGACACAUUUGAUGAUGUAAGAAAAGCAGAAGGCUUUUUUUUUUCUAAGCUUCUACACUUCAGUCUAGCCUUUCAGUACAUUUUGAAAUGAAUAAGGGUACACUUUUCC
rnacentral:lncRNA from 1 species